AGAGUUUGAUCCUGGCUCAGGACGAACGCUGGCGGCGUGCCUAAGGCAUGCAAGUCGAGCGGUAGCUCCUAUUGGUUAAAGCCGAUAGGAGUGAGAGCGGCGCACGGGUGAGUAACACGUAGGUAACCUACCCCAGAGAGGGGGAUAACAUCUCGAAAGGGGUGCUAAACCCCCAUAUACUUACCGAGCGAGAUGCUCAGGUAAGGAAAGGGUAUAGAGGGGUAACCCUCUAUGCUGCUCUGGGAUGGGCCUGCGGCCUAUCAGCUAGUUGGUGGGGUAAAGGCCCACCAAGGCUAAGACGGGUAGCCGGCCUGAGAGGGUGGUCGGCCACACUGGGACUGAGACACGGCCCAGACUCCUACGGGAGGCAGCAGCCGGGAAUCUUCCGCAAUGGGGGAAACCCUGACGGAGCGACGCCGCGUGAGGGAAGAAGCCCUUCGGGGUGUAAACCUCUUUUCUCGGGGAAGAAGGCAUGACGGUACCCGAGGAAAAAGCCCCGGCUAACUACGUGCCAGCAGCCGCGGUAAGACGUAGGGGGCGAGCGUUGUCCGGAUUUACUGGGCGUAAAGGGCGUGUAGGCGGCUUAGCAAGUCAGAUGUGGAAGCCCCGGGCUCAACUCGGGGAGGACAUCUGAUACUGCUAAGCUAGAGGGCAGGAGAGGAGAGCGGAACUUCCGGUGUAGCGGUGAAAUGCGUGGAUAUCGGAAGGAACGCCGGUGGCGAAGGCGGCUCUCUGGACUGUCCCUGACGCUGAGGCGCGAAAGCUAGGGGAGCGAACGGGAUUAGAUACCCCGGUAGUCCUAGCCGUAAACGAUGGGCACUAGGUGUGGGGAGUUAGACUCUCCGUGCUGCAGCUAACGCGAUAAGUGCCCCGCCUGGGGAGUACGGCCGCAAGGCUAAAACUCAAAGGAAUUGACGGGGGCCCGCACAAGCGGUGGAGCGCGUGGUUUAAUUCGAUGCUAAGCGAAGAACCUUACCAGGGCUUGACAUGCAGGCUGUAAGCUCACCCGAAAGGGUGAGUGCCAAAUAGGAGGUUUCUCCUAUUUGGAGUCUGCACAGGUGGUGCAUGGCUGUCGUCAGCUCGUGUCGCGAGAUGUUGGGUUAAGUCCCGCAACGAGCGCAACCC
rnacentral:rRNA from 1 species